GUGUCGGUGUCAGAAAUGGUUAUGUGCCUGUCUGCAAAACAGGUUUAUGAGGGUUCGAGUCCCUUCCGAUACUCCA
rnacentral:tRNA from 10 species